UGUUCUGUGGCUUAGUUGCUUAAAGUUCCCGGUCUAGCAAUACGCAGUCGGGGGUUCAAAUCCCACCAAAACAA
rnacentral:tRNA from 1 species